CCUACGGGAGGCAGCAGUAGGGAAUAUUGCUCAAUGGGCGAAACCCUGAAGCAGCAACGCCGCGUGGAGGAUGAAGGCUUUCGGGUUGUAAACCCCUUUUGUUAGGGAAGAUAAUGACGGUAUCUAACGAAUAAGCACCGGAUAACUCCGUGCCAGCAGCCGCGGUCAUACGGCGGGUGCAGAGGUUACUCGGAAUCACGGGGCGUAAAGCGCGCGUAGGCGGGCUAGCAAGUCAGAUGUGAAAGCCUAUGGCUUAACCAUAGAACUGCAUUGGAAACUGGUAUUAUAGAGUUUGGGAGAGGUAGGUGGAAUUCGUGGUGUAGGGGUAAAAUCCGUAGAGAUCAAGAGGAAUACUGAUUGCGAAGGCGACCUGCUGGAACGUAACUGACGCUGAUGCGCGAAAGCGUGGGGAGCAAACAGGAUUAGAUACCCGGGUAGUC
rnacentral:rRNA from 1 species